AUUAGGAAUCUUGUGCAAUGGGCGCUAAGCCUGACACAGCGACGCCGCGUGGGGGAGGACGGCCUUCGGGUUGUAAACCCCUUUUGACGAGGAAGAAACAAAUGACGGUACUCGUCGAAUAAGCCCCGGCUAACUCCGUGCCAGCAGCCGCGGUAAUACGGAGGGGGCGAGCGUUGUCCGAAGUUACUGGGCGUAAAGCGCGCGUAGGCGGGAGGCCAAGUCCGCUGUGAAAGCCCGGGGCUCAACCCCGGCGGGUCGGUGGAGACUGGUCUUCUUGAAGAUGCUAGGGGGGGGUGGAAUUAUCGGUGUAGCGGUGAAAUGCGUAGAGAUCGAUAGGAACACCAGUGGCGAAGGCGGCCUCCUGGGGCACUCUUGACGCUGAGGCGCGAAAGCUGGGGGAGCGAACGG
rnacentral:rRNA from 1 species